rnacentral:rRNA from 1 species
CCAGCUCCAAUAGCGUAUAUUAAAGUUGCUGCAGUUAAAAAGCUCGUAGUUGAACUUCAGGCCUGGCCGGGUGGUCUGCCUCACGGUAUGCACUGUCUGGCUGGGUCUUACCUCUUGGUGAGCCAGCAUGCCCUUCACUGGGUGUGUUGGGGAACCAGGACUUUUACCUUGAGAAAAUUAGAGUGUUCAAAGCAGGCCUAUGCCCGAAUACAUUAGCAUGGAAUAGUAAAAUAGGACGUGCGGUUCUAUUUUGUUGGUUUCUAGAGUCGCCGUAAUGAUUAAUAAGGAUAGUUGGGGGCAUUAGUAUUCAGUUGCUAGAGGUGAAAUUCUUGGAUUUACUGAAGACUAACUACUGCGAAAGCAUUUGCCAAGGAUGUUUUCAUUAAUCAAGAACGAAGGUUAGGGGAUCGAAAACGAUCAGAUACCGUUGUAGUCU